AGCGAACGCUGGCGGCAGGCCUAACACAUGCAAGUCGAACGAAGUCUUCGGACUUAGUGGCGGACGGGUGAGUAACACGUGGGAACGUACCUUUUGGUUCGGAGCAACUCAGGGAAACUUGAGCUAAUACCGGAUGAGCCCUUAGGGGGAAAGAUUUAUCGCCGAAAGAGCGGCCCGCGUUAGAUUAGCUAGUUGGUGAGGUAAAGGCUCACCAAGGCUACGAUCUAUAGCUGGUCUGAGAGGAUGAUCAGCCACACUGGGACUGAGACACGGCCCAGACUCCUACGGGAGGCAGCAGUGGGGAAUCUUGCGCAAUGGGCGAAAGCCUGACGCAGCCAUGCCGCGUGAAUGAUGAAGGUCUUAGGAUUGUAAAAUUCUUUUACCAGGGACGAUAAUGACGGUACCUGGAGAAAAAGCCCCGGCUAAACUCGUGCCAGCCGCCGCGGUAAAAC
rnacentral:rRNA from 1 species